rnacentral:lncRNA from 1 species
UUGUGACCGCUUUACUUGAAAUGUUGUUCAGAACAUAGCACGUAGUCUCAAGAGCAUAAUCCCAAAAAAAGAUCGACGGACUUGCAAAUCCUAUCAUGGACUAAACUAUAUUUAAUAGAAUUCAAUUUCUCCUUGCAGGAGGUAUCCAUUGUGAGAGAAUCCCAUUCUCUUCUAGAUAUGUCAAAACUCAUUGGAAAGGUAUUCACCUCCUCAGU